rnacentral:lncRNA from 1 species
UCAAUAUGCCAUGAUAAACCGUAAUGGAAAAGAAUCUGGAAAAGAACGUGUGACCCUGGUGGCCCAGUGGGUAAGAACCUGCCGUGCAAAGCGAGGGACGCCAGUUUGAUCCCUGGUCCGGGAAGAUCCCGCGUGCUGCAGGGCAAACUAAGCCACGCCUCACAACUCCUGAGCCCGCGCGCCCUGGAGCCUGAGCGCCACAACGAGAGGAGCCACUGCAGUGAGAGGCCCUCGCACGGAAACUGGAGAGGAGCCCCCAGCUCGAGAAGGGCCACUGGCAGCAAGGAGGACCAGCGCAGCCAAAGAAAGGAGCAGGAAACACACACACGACAGAGUCGCUCUGCGGCACAGAAGUGAACACAGCAUCGUAAACCAGCUUCAACAAAACUUUUUAAAAAGGUAAAAAUAAAGAUCACAUAUAGCAUGGAAAAAGAGAUAAGUCAACUCGAAAAUGAAAGCCCUUAUAAGAGACCAGGAAAGGCCGAGCACGCCGAGACCCCGUAACGGGCUCUGUGGCUCAGCUAGCAGCAUCUCCAGAUGGCCUGCACGGGGACGCCCCAGGAACUGGGGAGCUGGGGCCGGCUUGUCCAUGGACCCCGGGAGCUGAGCGGCUGAUACAGGAAGGCCACCCCUUCUGUGGGAAAACCAGUGAUGACCGUAACUGUCUCCCCAACUACCCUAUACUUAAACCCGAUUAAGUCCGCUCUCUGAAAGGAAGUGCCCCAUGGUUUAGCCGAGCUUGGGGUCCCUUCUCUCUCCCCAGCGCUGUGAUGCUGCGUUAUACAGCAGACUCUGCUCCGAAGCAGGACCAUGUCCAUCGGGCCUGGUUCCAGCAGCCUGCGCCUCCCUGACACCAAGGGGAAGGUUCCAUUUCUGGGCCAUGCUCACAGCCUGGGGUGAGGCUGGGGAGACACAGUGCAUCCCAGUGGGUCCUUGGUGCCUCCGAGCUCUGGAUGGGCCGGCCUCCCAGCAGACUUUCUCAGCCUUGGAGACACUUGGUUUCCCUUCUCCAGGCAGACGCAUCUGGGAGAACAGAAACUUCCUAGACUCACCAGCUGCUCCCGUUUAGUGGCUUAAAAAAUGGUCUUGGUAGUGACUGCAAUGGUCUCCAGACACAGAGGCCGCUACAGCUUGAGACUUGAUCUUGACACACUCAUUCGGUUCCCUACUUUUUCCCCCAAGGUAAGUUGGUUCCAGGAUUCACCACAUUCUUUCUAUGUCAUCGCUCACUGUUUUUUUAAAUUUACAUAUUUUUAAUUGGAGGAUAACUGCUUUACAAUGUUGUGUUCGCUUCUGCCGUACAUCAGUGUG